GUCGAACGGCAGCGCGGGAGCAAUCCUGGCGGCGAGUGGCGAACGGGUGAGUAAUACAUCGGAACGUGCCCAAUCGUGGGGGAUAACGCAGCGAAAGCUGUGCUAAUACCGCAUACGAUCUACGGAUGAAAGCAGGGGAUCGCAAGACCUUGCGCGAAUGGAGCGGCCGAUGGCAGAUUAGGUAGUUGGUGAGGUAAAGGCUCACCAAGCCUUCGAUCUGUAGCUGGUCUGAGAGGACGACCAGCCACACUGGGACUGAGACACGGCCCAGACUCCUACGGGAGGCAGCAGUGGGGAAUUUUGGACAAUGGGCGAAAGCCUGAUCCAGCCAUGCCGCGUGCAGGAUGAAGGCCUUCGGGUUGUAAACUGCUUUUGUACGGAACGAAACGGUCUUUUCUAAUACAGAAGGCUAAUGACGGUACCGUAAGAAUAAGCACCGGCUAACUACGUGCCAGCAGCCGCGGUAAUACGUAGGGUGCAAGCGUUAAUCGGAAUUACUGGGCGUAAAGCGUGCGCAGGCGGUUAUGUAAGACAGUUGUGAAAUCCCCGGGCUCAACCUGGGAACUGCAUCUGUGACUGCAUAGCUAGAGUACGGUAGAGGGGGAUGGAAUUCCGCGUGUANGCAGUGAAUGCGUAGAUAUGCGGAGGAACACCGAUGGCGAAAGCAAUCCCCUGGACCUGUACUG
rnacentral:rRNA from 1 species